GUUUCAAUUCCUCAUAGGCAGGCUAUCGGCGACGGAAAACCUUUUCUUGCGGAAAUUGACAUUCCGG
rnacentral:sRNA from 1 species